UAAUACGGAGGAUCCGAGCGUUAUCCGGAUUUAUUGGGUUUAAAGGGUGCGUAGGCGGCAUUUUAAGUCAGGGGUGAAAUACAGCGGCUCAACCGUUGCAGUGCCUUUGAUACUGAAGUGCUUGAAUGUGAUCGAAGGAGGCGGAACGGGACAAGUAGCGGUGAAAUGCAUAGAUAUGUCCCAGAACCCCGAUUGCGAAGGCAGCUUCCUAGAACAUAAUUGACGCUGAUGCACGAAAGCGUGGGGAUCGAACAGG
rnacentral:rRNA from 1 species